AUACGGAGGGUGCGAGCGUUGUUCGGAAUUAUUGGGCGUAAAGAGCAAGUAGGCGGUCUGUUAAGUCUGGUGUGAAAGCCCGGGGCUCAACCCCGGAAGUGCAUUGGAUACUGGCAGACUUGAGUAUGGGAGAGGAAAGCGGAAUUCCGAGUGUAGGAGUGAAAUCCGUAGAUAUUCGGAGGAACACCAGUGGCGAAGGCGGCUUUCUGGACCAAUACUGACGCUGAGAUGCGAAAGCGUGGGGAGCGAACAGGAUUAGAAACCCCAGUAGUCC
rnacentral:rRNA from 1 species